ACGGCCCAGACUCCUACGGGAGGCAGCAGUGGGGAAUAUUGCACAAUGGGCGAAAGCCUGAUGCAGCGACGCCGCGUGAGGGAUGACGGCCUUCGGGUUGUAAACCUCUUUCAGCAGGGAAGAAGCGCAAGUGACGGUACCUGCAGAAGAAGCACCGGCUAACUACGUGCCAGCAGCCGCGGUAAUACGUAGGGUGCGAGCGUUGUCCGGAAUUAUUGGGCGUAAAGAGCUCGUAGGCGGCCUGUCGCGUCGGAUGUGAAAGCCCGGGGCUCAACCCCGGGUCUGCAUUCGAUACGGGCAGGCUGGAGUGUGGUAGGGGAGAUCGGAAUUCCUGGUGUAGCGGUGAAAUGCGCAGAUAUCAGGAGGAACACCGGUGGYGAAGGYGGAUCUCUGGGCCAUUACUGACGCUGAGGAGCGAAAGCGUGGGGAGCGAACAGGAUUAGAUACCCUGGUAGUCCACGCCGUAAACGUUGGGAACUAGGUGUUGGCGACAUUCCACGUCGUCGGUGCCGCAGCUAACGCAUUAMGUUCCCCGCCUGGGGAGUACGGCCGCAAGGCUAAAACUCAAAGGAA
rnacentral:rRNA from 1 species